rnacentral:tRNA from 3 species
GGCUGGAUAGCUCAGAUGGUAGAGCAGAGGACUGAAAAUCCUUGUGUCGGCGGUUCGAUUCCGCCUCCAGCCACCA